GUCCCAGUAGCGUAAUGGAUAGCUCGUUGGACUUCUAAUCCAAAGGUCGUGGGCUUAAAUCUCACCUUGGAUG